rnacentral:lncRNA from 1 species
AUACGUAAUGAGGUAUUAUAGUAUAUUAUAGAUGUGCGUAUGUAUUUAUGUUUUCUGGUUUGAUUUAUGGUUGAUUGGUGAUUUUAUUUAGUUAAAAAGAGUACAUAUAAUUAUAGUUACACUACUUUAUUAUAUUUCGUAUCUUGUAAUAAUGUGUAUAUACAAACGUAUUAUGGAAUAUAAUUAAUUAUUCGUAUUCGUGGAUAAGGGGUCAGGUUCAAUGCUCAAAGUCACUACGGCGUAUAUAUGUAUAUUACGUGUGUUGAUUUGUAUAUUUAAUACUUAGUAUAUUAAGAGAUAAUUUUUUGUUGAGUUCUACGUAUAAUAUUGUACGUAGAAUUUGUUAUCUAUGAUUUGGGACGUGAGUAUCAUCGUAUGCUUUCAAAAUCUCUAGGUACAUCCGUAGCGAGAGUACAUAUACAGUCAAUUCGCCAACCGAAUGUAAUUUAUUAUUGUUUUUACCGAAUGUCUUGAAAGGUUUUUUGAAGAGGUCUUACAGUAUAAUAAAAUAUGAAUAACAAAGGGGUUGUCUGGUGCCACUGAUAAUUGAUUGGAUUGUUUUUACUAAAUGUUUUAUCGGGGAGAUGUAGAAUAUUAUAUAACAACCGACUCCAUACGAACCUUCGCUAUUAGUUAUUCUGUGUUUUUAUUUAAGUAUUGAAAUGAAAUAUAUUAUAUUAUUUAAAAACACAUGUUGUAUAAUUAAAAAAAGUUGCAGUUGCAUGGGUAUAUUUCAUAAUUUAAAGUUUAAAGGGCUGUGCAAUAUAUUAUGCACAUUGUAUUGCGUGACAAUAAUAUCAUUAUACUUUUGAAACUAUAACCGUAGUCACGCAUGCGUAUGAUUAUUAAAUUGUUCAGUCGAGGAGCCACCUGCUAUAAUAUUAAAUGACAUUAUUUUGUUACCCUAGUCCAUCUCAUACAGUUGGCAGAUACCAGCAGUUUGCAUGCAGUCGGCACGCAGUAGGUAUACCUACGUAUUUUAUGUAAAUUUUUUUUUUUUUAAAUGCAUAGUUAUUUAUGUAUUAUAACUUUUGGUUGAAGACGUUCAAUGAUUAUCCACUGGACACAGUGCCUCAAGAAGUAUGUACUGAUGAAGAUAAAUAUAUUUAUACACAUAAUACAAGAAUCACCGUUCAAAUUCACAUCAAAUGUUACUCAACUAGUGAAUAAGAACCGACCAGGUGGUUGACGAAAACGAGUCGUUGCUCCAUCACCUAUCCCCAUUACGGUUGCCUCAACAAAUAUUCGCUAUUGUCAAAUAAUUAAUGAAUUGGCCACCAAGUGGUCUGGCAGCUACAAGCUCAGUUGCGAUGUGCGAAAGCGGACUGUUCUUAUUCUGAAUUAAACAGAACUCAAAAGAUGUGAAGGGCCGACCAAUAAGGUUUUUCACGGCGAUGGUCAUUUAAUUGGUUAUUCGGUGGGGAUAAAUCACCAGUCAUAAACCAUGACGGUUCAAUCGGUUAUUACUGCAAGAACGCCAUGAAUUUCUAUUUAAUCGUAUCUUACGAAACGUACAACCAUUGAUUAUGAAAACUUACUAAUAUAUUAAACAUACUAAUUACAAUUAUAAAUUAAUGGUACAAAGCACACUGUUAUGUUAUAUUUUACUUCAUCGACGCAUUAAUCGCCAGUUUUUAUUCCUUAAUGACACAAAGUACCCAAAAAUAUUAAAAAGGCAUAGAAAAAGCUAAAAAAGAAAUUUUAGAGGAAAGCUUUGUCCCUCUCAUUCCUCCUAUAUUGAUACUCCACCUUAUAGUUGUUACAUAAGAAAUUUCUAUUAAAUAUUCAAAUCAAUAGUGAAUAUUGUGUAGCUAUGUGAAUUUGUAGGAAAAUUCGUUCUUUUUUGCUUAUUUUAAAACGCA